AUUUAAAUUUUAUGAGACGAGAAGUAUAGCAGGAUGGGUUUGGAUUGAUAUGAAAUACAGCGAGACGGGUUUGGAUUGAUAUAACACAGGUUAAAUAUUUAUUUUAUUAUUUUAUCAUCACUAAUUUUUUUAAUUACAAUAUUAAUAUAAAAUUAUAUAUCUUUAAUA
rnacentral:sRNA from 1 species